rnacentral:rRNA from 1 species
UGGCGAACGGGUGAGUAACAUAUCGGAACGUACCGGGUAGCGGGGGACAACUGAUCGAAAGAUCAGCUAAUACCGCAUACGUCUUGAGAGGGAAAGCAGGGGACCUUCGGGCCUUGCGCUAUCCGAGCGGCCGAUAUCUGAUUAGCUGGUUGGCGGGGUAAAGGCCCACCAAGGCGACGAUCAGUAGCGGGUCUGAGAGGAUGAUCCGCCACACUGGGACUGAGACACGGCCCAGACUCCUACGGGAGGCAGCAGU